rnacentral:rRNA from 1 species
GUAGGUGGCAAGCGUUGUCCGGAAUUAUUGGGCGUAAAGCGCGCGCAGGCGGUUCUUUAAGUCUGAUGUGAAAGCCCACGGCUCAACCGUGGAGGGUCAUUGGAAACUGGAGAACUUGAGUACAGAAGAGGAAAGCGGAAUUCCACGUGUAGCGGUGGAAUGCGUAGAGAUGUGGAGGAACACCAGUGGCGAAGGCGGCUUUCUGGUCUGUAACUGACGCUGAGGCGCGAAAGCGUGGGGAGCAAACAGGGAUUAGAUACCCUGGUAGUCCACGCCGUAAACGAUGAGUGCUAAGUGUUAGGGGGUUUCCGCCCCCUUAGUGCUGCAGCUAACGCAUUAAGCACUCCGCCUGGGGAGUACGGCCGCAAGGCUG